rnacentral:tRNA from 1 species
CUGCUGCUGGGCGGUGAGGGAGCGCAGCCGGUCGAGCAGUCCGGUGGCUGAUGCCGGUGAGGUGGCCGCGGCGUUCCGCCGCCGUACCGGG